rnacentral:rRNA from 1 species
UUUUAUGGAGAGUUUGAUCCUGGCUCAGAGUGAACGCUGGCGGCGUGCCUAAUACAUGCAAGUCGAACGAUGAAGCGACUAGCUUGCUAGUUGUGGAUUAGUGGCGCACGGGUGAGUAAGGUAUAGUUAAUCUGCCCUACACAAGAGGACAACAGUUGGA